AUCGCUUUGAGCAUUCAAAUUUUGAAUUUCAUCUAUCCAUUUCCCCAAAUAUUUAGCUUUUGAAUUCCACCGAGCAAAGCAAUCCAUUGACUUUCUCAUAUCUCACUUUUUACAGUUCAGGCCAACUCAACUCAUCUGGUUUUCUCUCUACACACAAACUCAUAUGGUUCUCUCUAUUAGAGAUGAUUAGAAGCAUGAAGCUUCAAAUCUGAUAUUAGAUCGAUCAAGCAAGUUAUCCGAGGCACUCACGGAGGUGUAGACUUCACGGUCUUAGAGGCGAGUUCUCGGCACUCACCGGAGGUGUAGAUUUCACAGUCACAGUGGUAAGGGGUUAGAUUCUGAAACUGGAAGUACUGUUGGUGGAGGAAACAUGGUUGGAAGUUCUCUCUUUAUAUCGUUAUACCCCAUAUGGCCAGCUAAAAGCUAUCAUCAUUGGUCAGGAUUUGGUUUGAAACUCGUCGAAUCUCGUGGUGGCGGUGUUAAAGGAGUUAUAGGGCUAUCUUGAUGUCCUAAGGGCGGCGAUUAGCGGUGGUUUUAAGCUCGAGUAACAGCAGCGACCAAAAAUGCUUAGAUCGGCCGCUACAUGCGAUUAAAGUUCAGGCGGCGGCGUUGGAAAGUAUAUGCCGUCAGGGGCGGAUAUAUAUUAGACCAAGGGGUUGCCUCCGCUACCGCUUGUCGGAAAAUUUUUGACGUUUUUAGUGUAAAUUUUGGAAAAAUUUGACGUUUUUUCGAUUUCGUUACCGCUUAUUUAUAAAACGUUCCCGCUUGGUCGGAAUCCUAGAUCCACCACUGUAUGCCGUAUACUAAGACAAUGGAGAUAAAACCGUUUUCUGGCCAAGACCAUGACCGAUAGGCGCAACAUGGGUCAUUACCAACUAGAUCUGCGAUGGUGUCGGGUGUGUGUGCUUAUUUACGGCUAGCUCACGUAAGAUUCAACUAUUUUAUAUGCCAUUCCAACGAGAUUAUUUGUGAAAACUGUUGAUUUGUCUCUACUUGUAUUAUUUUUGGCGAAUUUGGAGGGAGAGUUGAUAGUUGAAAGUUGUUACCAAAUUGUGUUAUCAGCUGCAACAUUACUGAAUGCUUUCAGUGGUAAGUAGUGGCGGUUUAGGGUUCAGGAUUAAAUCAGUGGCUUUAGAUUAGGAAGACUGAGGCUUGGUUGUGGUUACGGAGCUCUAACGAUUCAAGAUGAAGCUGCAAUGGCUUUGGCAGCUGCAGCAAACAUCAGAUCAAAACUGCAUGUUCACAGCUUACUCAAUCAUGAUUAGUUUGGAGGGUUGCAUUUACCAGAAAUCAGUAGUGGAGUGAAUAAUAUGGGAUAACAAAAUGAUGGUUGUCCAUCUACCUGAGGUAUAAACAUUAUACAGGAAACAGAUGGGAAAAAUCAGGCAUGACACCUCCCAGCCACGGUUCUAGCGUCGCGGUUCUAGCCACUAGACAGCUUUCUACAUUGCAUUGUAGCUGUCUUUUGUGGCUCAAAAGUAUCUAAAAACUGCACAUAUUUUGUUUGUGUUAUAAUGCACUUAUCUGGUCCACUAAUGAAAUUUGGAAGUUUGUCUGAAUUAGAACUUCACUUAUUUGAAACAGAGGAACUGAGAUGGACCAGAUGGUGUAUACUAAUACUAUAUAUAUGUGUAUUUUGAUUUUUGAGAUCAGGGAUAGUAAUUGGAGUAUUCAUUUAUUGCCUU